UUCAUCAAAAAAAGGAAUACUUUUAGUAUUUUAAUAAUAAUUAUUAUUUAUGGUGUUUGCUUGUUACAUUUUCAAAUGUUGACAUAAAAUUAAAGAUUUUAUCAAAUUUAUGAGGAUAGAAAAAAUAAACUUCACACAAGCAACCUGAAAGCUACACAAUACAAUGUUUACAAUCCUUGGCUGUUUGUCAUAUCAGCAGUACAUUGUCUGAAAAAUUUAGUACAGAACUGGAAAUUUUGCCCAAAUUUAUUAGUAAUAACCUGGACACUGGUUCAAGAUCUACGGGCUGUUACCAGCCGUCAGACAGUUUCAUAAUGACUCCGAGGCUUAGAGAGGGGAAAGGUGCCAACACCUCAUCUAGCAUUCCAUUCAAGUCGUACAGCUGAGGGCGCCAUUUGUACAGACCCACAUGGGCUUUCGGAGUUUCUGCAAGCCAUCUUGGAAGAGGUUCUCUCACUGGCUGCGAUGCAGACGGGGGUGGCAAGACAUCAUGUCGUUCGAUGAGCAUAUCAAGAAAAAUGUGAUGGUAGGAAAUAUUUAUUUUAACUUGAAAUUUUACAUUGAGCUACCACUUACGACACUAUGGUAGAUGUAUAAUUGUUUUUAAUUGUUUGACAAUCGGGUUUAUUUUCGUGAAAGAUGCCCCUUUCAUUGAACGCCAAAGCAUAUGGUUUAUGCAGAACGGGGCGCCACCUCAUUACCUACAUAAUGUAAGACAACACUUAAAUGAGUUGUAUAGAGAAAAAUGGAUA